rnacentral:tRNA from 1 species
GCGUGAGUGAUCUAGUGGUUAUGAUGUUGAACUGUGAAUUCAAAUACGCCGGUUCGAUUCCGGCCUCUCGCCCUA